ACCGUGUUCAUCCUUCUCUCUUCGUUUUGACCAAACUUUCUCCUCAUUUAUUCUUCAGAUCUCGUAAUUUCCACUCCGUUUCCGAUAAUUAUGGUUAUAUGUUCGUGUAGAUCGUCGUUCUAUCUACGCUUUGAUCAUCGAUUUGAUUCCUUUCUCUGAUAUUAUCAAGACAAUUUUCAUUUUCAUUUUUCAGUCUAUUCAGCUGAAGAUGUAUGAGGUCAAUAAAUCUACAAUUGAUUACGGUUGCAGUUUGGAAAAGGAUAGAAAAUAUUUGACGAGGUUCAAGCGCGAUACAUAUAUGAUUAUGUAUAUAUAUAUAUAUGUAUGUAUAGAUGUAUGAUCUAAAGCUGUGGACUGUGGUUGCGGAGAUAGGCGAGAGAAAAAGAUUUUAAAAAAAUGUAUAAAAAAAAAAGGAUGAAAUGCGUGUGAUGCGGCCUUUGCCAUACAGGUGCGCUUGUAUGGCAGGCCAAAAAAUAAUAAUAAUGAAAAACCGGUGGUUUUUGUGUUUUAGAUGGAAGGAGAAGGCACGGAUUAUUAUUUUUUUGUCCGGCUUCUUCUUCCAUCUCUGUCUCCCUUUGUUGCUUUCUCUCUCUAUAUCUCGUAUCUCUAUCCAUCCAUAUGUCAGUCCAUAAUGGCGUGUUUAUAUCGUCACAACUAUAGGCAAUCUGCGGGGAUAUGAACCAAACAGGUCAUAUAUGAUACAUGGGAUCUCUCGAUAUAAAUAGUCAAAAAUUUGACUACUACUGCAGCGGCAAUCAAAUCAUGAUAUCAACAGCCUAAGUUUUCUCUCUGUCUUGUCGAAAGGAAUUUCAUGAGCAAGGCUGCAAUAAAAGAAAAAAACCCCUAUCUGGACUGAAGCUGACAAAACGGAAGUAAUCCAGCUCACACUAUGGCACACUGGGUUUGCCAUGCAGCCGUUUUGGACGCUGACGGCUUGGGAAAGGCUUCAAUCCCACUAUAUAUUUGAUGUUUAUAUAAAUAUGCUAGUAGUUUUAAACGAUAGUACAAAAUAAAUAUAAACCUUUCAGUUAAUGCGGCAAGUAGUUUACAAUCAUAUAAAUUAUAGAAAGGCAUUCAAAAAUUUAAAUGAUUAACCAACGAUUGUAAAAGUAGGGUUUCAAAAAGUUAGGCUAGUCAUGAAAAAUGUUUUUUACUUUUUCGUUUUUAGUUUUCUAAAAAAUGAAAGUAGUUUUUCAUUUUCUAUAAAACAAAUGAAAAAUUUUAAAAUGCGUUUGGAACAGAAAAUAGGAAAGAAUAAAAAAAUAUUUUUAAUCCGUAGAGAAGUGGAAGUGUUUUCUGUUUUUUUGGUAAAUUUUUUUUAAAAAGCUAUGAUUAUUGUGUUUUUAAUUUUUUUUUUUAGAAAACAAAAAUGAAAAAUAAUGAGUGUUUUUCAUAACUAAACGUGUUUUUUUUUACAAGUGUAUUUUACCCCAGAUGCGUAUGAUGUGCAAAUCGCAUAACGAAAGGGUCUCGAACUAAGCGACCACCUCUUUUAUUGGAAAAUAAUGCGAUGAGAACUUACCAAGGCUUGAACUCGAGACCUUGGAGUAAAACUCCCCUGAGGUAAUGGCAGAAUACAAGAAAAGGCAAGACAAACCUUAACAAAAGCUCAAAUUUGCGAUAUAUGUCUUUUAGAAGACUAGACUUAGUUUAUUUGAACAAAAUCUAUACAAAUUGUCCACAAGUGAAUAUCACAAUUGGAUAGAAAUAUAUUUAAUGAAAAUUUCUAUCGUUGGAGUAAAAGCCAAAGAAAAAUGGAAUAAAGAAAAAAACGAUUUAACAAAGUAUUCCCUUGGAUUUGCUACAAAAAUUGUUAAAGAAGAAAUUGCAAUUAUUUGUGAUCUUGCAAAUACACAAAAACAAUUAAAAAGGUUUAAUAAAAAUUGUUUGUACAAAUUUAACUGAUAUACCACCAUUAUCAUACGAUUGUAACACAGUUAAAGAAAAGAAGUAUUUCAAAAAUAAAUAUAAAAAGAAAUAUAAUAAACCUACCAAUAAUAGAAUUUUGGAAGCAUAAAAAGUAAACAUUUACCCCAGGUAAAUACUUUUCAAAAGUAAAACAUAAGGUAUGUCCUCAAGGUACAAAAGACUGUCGGUGCUGGAUAUGCUUCAAAGAAGGACAUUAUGCAAAUGAAUGUCUAAAAAGGCAAAAAUUUCCUAAUAAAAUAAAACUUAUUUUAGAAGCAGAAAAGGAUGGAUAUUUUCCCUCAGAAGACAAUUUUGAAGGAAUAACAAAGGUGCCAGCCCAGAGCUUGUUUCUCUAGCAUUUUCAGCUGGAUUAAUAAAGUUCAUAUAUCCUUCUCCUAACUUGCUAGAAAUUAGCUUACUACCAGAAGGAAUGAAGAAAGCCAUUAAAAACUUUCGAAAAAAGAUUGCAGCUGCAAAAGAUGCAAACAUCUUUAUCAAGUGUAAUUCUGCACUACCAGAUUGGUCACAUGGAGAAUCCUUCCAGAGUUACCAUCACCUAGAAAUUGGCAUCGCCCAAGCAAGAAAAGUUGAUCCUUCCAAAGUAAUGAAUGAAGACUACAAUGACCCAGAAAACUGGGUUGAUAUUAGAGCUACAAUAACCUGCUUUUAAUCCUUGUAGAUUAUUUAGGAUUUUUAUAAAUCCUCUAGCUUUAAUAUCAACUCAGUUUUCGGGGUCAUUGUAGUCUUCAUCCAUUACUUUGGAAUGAUCAACUUUUCUUGCUUGGGCGAUGCCAAUUUCUAGGUGAUGGUAACUCUGGAAGGAUUCUCCAUGUGAUCAAUCUGGUAGUGUAGAUUUACACUUGAUAAAGAUGUUUGCAGCUGCAAUCUUUUUUCGAAAGGUUUUAAUGGCUUUCUUCAUUCCUUCUGGUAGUAAACUAAUUUCUAGCAAGUUAGGAGAAGGAUUGAACUUUAUUAAUCCAGCUGAAAAUGCUAGAGAAACAAGCUCUGGGCUGACACCUGGACAAAAGAUAAUUCAAUUUUUAGUAGCUUUAUCUUCGGAGUAGAUAUGUUCAACCUCAAAGUCUUUUUGACUUAGCGAUCUGGCUUUGGACCACAUCAUUUUGAAUUC